rnacentral:rRNA from 1 species
CUACGGGAUGCACCAGUGGGGAAUAUUGCACAAUGGGCGCAAGCCUGAUGCAGCCAUGCCGCGUGUAUGAAGAGGGCCUUCGGGUUGUAAAGUACUUUCAGCGGGGAGGAAGGGAGUAAAGUUAAUACCUUUGCUCAUUGACGUUACCCGCAGAAGAAGCACCGGCUAACUCCGUGCCAGCAGCCGCGGUAAUACGGAGGGUGCAAGCGUUAAUCGGAAUUACUGGGCGUAAAGCGCACGCAGGCGGUUUGUUAAGUCAGAUGUGAAAUCCCCGGGCUCAACCUGGGAACUGCAUCUGAUACUGGCAAGCUUGAGUCUCGUAGAGGGGGGUAGAAUUCCAGGUGUAGCGGUGAAAUGCGUAGAGAUCUGGAGGAAUACCGGUGGCGAAGGCGGCCCCCUGGACGAAGACUGACGCUCAGGUGCGAAAGCGUGGGGAGCAAACAGGAUUAGAUACCCGGGUAGUC